rnacentral:lncRNA from 1 species
UCUUUUUCUUCAUCUUUUUGAAACCCUGGUUUUGUAUUACCACUGACCAGUUCAGUAAAGAAACAGCUGCUUCAUGUUUGCAUAAAUGUGUUUGUAACCAAUCUAACAUGCUAUUAUUUCCUUAUUUUUUUAUUCCGUGUCUAUAGAUAGUCUUCAUCGGGGAGGCAAGAUUUAUUUUGUCUGUUGGUUGCUUGGCUAGCGUAAGCUAAUCGAUUUACCUCACAUUUUGAAGUUGGAUGGAGAUUGUUUUUAAAUAAAUGCCGUACCUUUGUACUUUGGUUUCCUGUCGGAUUUUUCUCAAUUUUAAAUUGGGAAGUUUUAUCAUUUGUUUUGCAUAAUUAUUAUUUUUGACUUGCAAAUGAACGAUUAAUAAAUCUAGUCCCAUGUGUGCUAGCGAAAUGUCUUUAGUGUAAUCUCGGAGUGUAAUUUUUAUUUCAACUUUUACGUUUGCAUCAGGACGACCUAAAACACGAAAACUUUCUUUUUUUAAGAAUGACAUUCGUUACUUCAAACAAAAAUCGCUUUUAUCUUCUUUUUUUUUGCAGUAAAAGACCGGUUUCUUUAAAAAAAAA